rnacentral:rRNA from 2 species
UUAAGCGACUAAGCGUACACGGUGGAUGCCCUGGCAGUCAGAGGCGAUGAAGGACGUGCUAAUCUGCGAUAAGCGUCGGUGAGGUGAUAUGAACCGUUAUAACCGGCGAUUUCCGAAUGGGGAAACCCAGUGUGUUUCGACACACUAUCAUUAACUGAAUCCAUAGGUUAAUGAGGCGAACCGGGGGAACUGAAACAUCUAAGUACCCCGAGGAAAAGAAAUCAACCGAGAUUCCCCCAGUAGCGGCGAGCGAACGGGGAGGAGCCCAGAGCCUGAAUCAGUGUGUGUGUUAGUGGAAGCGUCUGGAAAGGCGCGCGAUACAGGGUGACAGCCCCGUACACAAAAAUGCACAUAUUGUGAGCUCGAUGAGUAGGGCGGGACACGUGGUAUCCUGUCUGAAUAUGGGGGGACCAUCCUCCAAGGCUAAAUACUCCUGACUGACCGAUAGUGAACCAGUACCGUGAGGGAAAGGCGAAAAGAACCCCGGCGAGGGGAGUGAAAAAGAACCUGAAACCGUGUACGUACAAGCAGUGGGAGCCUCUUAAUGAGGUGACUGCGUACCUUUUGUAUAAUGGGUCAGCGACUUAUAUUCUGUAGCAAGGUUAACCGAAUAGGGGAGCCGAAGGGAAACCGAGUCUUAACUGGGCGUUAAGUUGCAGGGUAUAGACCCGAAACCCGGUGAUCUAGCCAUGGGCAGGUUGAAGGUUGGGUAACACUAACUGGAGGACCGAACCGACUAAUGUUGAAAAAUUAGCGGAUGAUUUGUGGCUGGGGGGGAAAGGCCAAUCAAACCGGGAGAUAGCUGGUUCUCCCCGAAAGCUAUUUAGGUAGCGCCUCGUGAAUUCAUCUCCGGGGGUAGAGCACUGUUUCGGCAAGGGGGUCAUCCCGACUUACCAACCCGAUGCAAACUGCGAAUACCGGAGAAUGUUAUCACGGGAGACACACGGCGGGUGCUAACGUCCGUCGUGAAGAGGGAAACAACCCAGACCGCCAGCUAAGGUCCCAAAGUCAUGGUUAAGUGGGAAACGAUGUGGGAAGGCCCAGACAGCCAGGAUGUUGGCUUAGAAGCAGCCAUCAUUUAAAGAAAGCGUAAUAGCUCACUGGUCGAGUCGGCCUGCGCGGAAGAUGUAACGGGGCUAAACCAUGCACCGAAGCUGCGGCAGCGACACUAUGUGUUGUUGGGUAGGGGAGCGUUCUGUAAGCCUGUGAAGGUGGCCUGUGAGGGUUGCUGGAGGUAUCAGAAGUGCGAAUGCUGACAUAAGUAACGAUAAAGCGGGUGAAAAGCCCGCUCGCCGGAAGACCAAGGGUUCCUGUCCAACGUUAAUCGGGGCAGGGUGAGUCGACCCCUAAGGCGAGGCCGAAAGGCGUAGUCGAUGGGAAACAGGUUAAUAUUCCUGUACUUGGUGUUACUGCGAAGGGGGGACGGAGAAGGCUAUGUUGGCCGGGCGACGGUUGUCCCGGUUUAAGCGUGUAGGCUGGUUUUCCAGGCAAAUCCGGAAAACCAAGGCUGAGGCGUGAUGACGAGGCACUACGGUGCUGAAGCGACAAAUGCCCUGCUUCCAGGAAAAGCCUCUAAGCAUCAGGUAACAUCAAAUCGUACCCCAAACCGACACAGGUGGUCAGGUAGAGAAUACCAAGGCGCUUGAGAGAACUCGGGUGAAGGAACUAGGCAAAAUGGUGCCGUAACUUCGGGAGAAGGCACGCUGAUAUGUAGGUGAAGCGACUUGCUCGUGGAGCUGAAAUCAGUCGAAGAUACCAGCUGGCUGCAACUGUUUAUUAAAAACACAGCACUGUGCAAACACGAAAGUGGACGUAUACGGUGUGACGCCUGCCCGGUGCCGGAAGGUUAAUUGAUGGGGUUAGCGGUAACGCGAAGCUCUUGAUCGAAGCCCCGGUAAACGGCGGCCGUAACUAUAACGGUCCUAAGGUAGCGAAAUUCCUUGUCGGGUAAGUUCCGACCUGCACGAAUGGCGUAAUGAUGGCCAGGCUGUCUCCACCCGAGACUCAGUGAAAUUGAACUCGCUGUGAAGAUGCAGUGUACCCGCGGCAAGACGGAAAGACCCCGUGAACCUUUACUAUAGCUUGACACUGAACAUUGAGCCUUGAUGUGUAGGAUAGGUGGGAGGCUUUGAAGUGUGGACGCCAGUCUGCAUGGAGCCGACCUUGAAAUACCACCCUUUAAUGUUUGAUGUUCUAACGUGGGCCCCUAAUCGGGGUUGCGGACAGUGUCUGGUGGGUAGUUUGACUGGGGCGGUCUCCUCCUAAAGAGUAACGGAGGAGCACGAAGGUUGGCUAAUCCUGGUCGGACAUCAGGAGGUUAGUGCAAUGGCAUAAGCCAGCUUGACUGCGAGCGUGACGGCGCGAGCAGGUGCGAAAGCAGGUCAUAGUGAUCCGGUGGUUCUGAAUGGAAGGGCCAUCGCUCAACGGAUAAAAGGUACUCCGGGGAUAACAGGCUGAUACCGCCCAAGAGUUCAUAUCGACGGCGGUGUUUGGCACCUCGAUGUCGGCUCAUCACAUCCUGGGGCUGAAGUAGGUCCCAAGGGUAUGGCUGUUCGCCAUUUAAAGUGGUACGCGAGCUGGGUUUAGAACGUCGUGAGACAGUUCGGUCCCUAUCUGCCGUGGGCGCUGGAGAACUGAGGGGGGCUGCUCCUAGUACGAGAGGACCGGAGUGGACGCAUCACUGGUGUUCGGGUUGUCAUGCCAAUGGCACUGCCCGGUAGCUAAAUGCGGAAGAGAUAAGUGCUGAAAGCAUCUAAGCACGAAACUUGCCCCGAGAUGAGUUCUCCCUGAGACUUAGAGUCUCCUGAAGGAACGUUGAAGACGACGACGUUGAUAGGCCGGGUGUGUAAGCGCAGCGAUGCGUUGAGCUAACCGGUACUAAUGAACCGUGAGGCUUAACCUU